GACGAACGCUGGCGGCGUGCUUAACACAUGCAAGUCGAACGAAAAGAGGGAAAGAGCUUGCUCUUUCCGGAAUUGAGUGGCAAACGGGUGAGUAACACGUAAACAACCUGCCUUCAGGAUGGGGACAACAGACGGAAACGACUGCUAAUACCGAAUAAGUUCCAAGGGCCGCAUGGCCCAUGGAAGAAAAGGUGGCCUCUACCUGUAAGCUAUCGCCUGAAGAGGGGUUUGCGUCUGAUUAGCUGGUUGGAGGGGUAACGGCCCACCAAGGCGACGAUCAGUAGCCGGUCUGAGAGGAUGAACGGCCACACUGGAACUGAGACACGGUCCAGACUCCUACGGGAGGCAGCAGUGGGGAAUCUUCCGCAAUGGGCGAAAGCCUGACGGAGCAACGCCGCGUGAGUGAUGACGGCCUUCGGGUUAUAAAACUCUGUGAUCCGGGACGAAAAGGCAGAGUGCGAAGAACAAACUGCAUUGACGGUACCGGAAAAGCAAGCCACGGCUAACUACGUG
rnacentral:rRNA from 1 species